rnacentral:rRNA from 1 species
UACGCGAGGCAGCAGAGGGGAAUAUUGCACCCUGGGCGAAAGCCUGAUGCAGCCAUGCCGCGUGUAUGAAGAAGGCCUUCGGGUUGUAAAGUACUUUCAGUCGUGAGGUAGGUUAUAAGCUUAAUACGCUUAUCUCUUGACGUUAGCGACAGAAGAAGCACCGGCUAACUCCGUGCCAGCAGCCGCGGUAAUACGGAGGGUGCGAGCGUUAAUCGGAAUUACCGGGCGUAAAGUGCAUGCAGGUGGUUCAAUAAGUCAGAUGUGAAAGCCCGGGGCUCAACCUCGGAACUGCAUUUGUAACUGUUGGACUAGAGUACUGUAGAGGGGGGUAGAAUUUCAGGUGUAGCGGUGCUAUGCGUAGAGAUCUGAAGGAAUACCAGUGGCGAAGGCGGCCCCCUGGACAGAUACUGACACGCAGAUGCGAAAGCGAUUGGAGCAAUGAGGAUUAGAUACCCUGGUAGUCCACGCCGUAAACGAUGUCUACUUGGAGGUUGUGGCCUUGAGCCGUGGCUUUCGGAGCUAACGCGUUAAGUAGACCGCCUGGGGAGUACGGUCGCAAGAUUAAAACUCAAAUGAAUUGACGGGGGCCCGCACAAGCGGUGGAGCAUGUGGUUUAAUUCGAUGCAACGCGAAGAACCUUACCUACUCUUGACAUCCAGAGAAGCCAGCAGAGAUACAGGUGUGCCUUCGGGAGCUCUGAGACAGGUGCUGCAUGGCUGUCGUCAGCUCGUGUUGUGAAAUGUUGGGUUAAGUCCCGCAACGAGCGCAACCCUUAUCCUUGUUUGCCAGCACGUAAUGGUGGGAACUCCAGGGAGACUGCCGGUGAUAAACCGGAGGAAGGUGGGGACGACGUCAAGUCAUCAUGGCCCUUACGAGUAGGGCUACACACGUGCUACAAUGGCGCAUACAG